rnacentral:rRNA from 1 species
GACGUAGGGCGCGAGCGUUGUCCGGAUUUAUUGGGCGUAAAGAGCUCGUAGGCGGCUCGUUGCGUCGGCUGUGAAAACCCGCAGCUCAACUGUGGGCUUGCAGCUGAUACGGGCGGGCUGGAGUUCGGUAGGGGGGACUGGAAUUCCUGGUGUAGCGGUGAAAUGCGCAGAUAUCAGGAGGAACACCGGUGGCGAAGGCGGGUCUCUGGGCCGAUACUGACGCUGAGGAGCGAAAGCGUGGGGAGCGAACAGG